AUUGAACGCUGGCGGCAUGCCUAACACAUGCAAGUCGAACGGAGGUAGGGGCAACUCUACUUCAGUGGCGGACGGGUGAGGAAUGCGUCGGAAUCUACCCUAUGGUGGGGGAUAACACAGGGAAACUUGUGCUAAUACCGCAUGAUGUCGAGAGACCAAAGCAGGGGACCGCAAGGCCUUGCGCGAUAGGAUGAGCCGACGCCCGAUUAGCUAGUUGGUAGGGUAAUGGCCUACCAAGGCGACGAUCGGUAGCUGGUCUGAGAGGAUGAUCAGCCACACUGGGACUGAGACACGGCCCAGACUCCUACGGGAGGCAGCAGUGGGGAAUAUUGGACAAUGGGCGAAAGCCUGAUCCAGCAAUGCCGCGUGUGUGAAGAAGGCCUGCGGGUUGUAAAGCACUUUUGUUCGGGAAGAAAACGGAUCGGUUAAUACCCGGUUCGGAUGACGGUACCGAAAGAAUAAGCACCGGCUAACUUCGUG
rnacentral:rRNA from 1 species